UUAAAGGCGGGUCACCACUCU
rnacentral:misc_RNA from 1 species